rnacentral:rRNA from 1 species
UACGUAGGGGGCAAGCGUUGUCCGGAAUCAUUGGGCGUAAAGCGCGUGUAGGCGGCCCGGAAAGUCUGAUGUGAAAACUGGAGGCUCAACCUCCAGCUGUCAUUGGAUACUACCGGGCUUGAAUACGGAAGAGGCGAGUGGAAUUCCUGGUGUAGCGGUGGAAUGCGCAGAUAUCGUAAGGAAGACCAGUGGCGAAGGCGGGUCUCUGGACAGUUCCUGACGCUGAGGCACGAAGGCCAGGGGAGCAAACGGG